GACGAACGCUGGCGGCGUGCUUAACACAUGCAAGUCGAACGGAAAGGCCCUGCUUUUGUGGGGUGCUCGCGUGGCGAACGGGUGAGUAACACGUGAGUAACCUGCCCUUGACUUUGGGAUAACUUCAGGAAACUGGGGCUAAUACCGGAUAGGAGCUCCUGCUGCAUGGUGGGGGUUGGAACGUUUCGGCGGAUGGGGAUGGACUCGCGGCUUAUCAGCUUGUUGGUGGGGUAGUGGCUUACCAAGGCUUUGACGGGUAGCCGGCCUGAGAGGGUGACCGGCCACAUUGGGACUGAGAGACGGCCCAGACGCCUACGGGAGGCAGCAGUGGGGAAUAUUGCACAAUGAGCGGAAGCCUGAUGCAGCAACGCCGCGUGCGGGAUGACGGCCUUCGGGGUGUAAACCGCUUUCGCCUGUGACGAAGCGGGAGUGACGGUAAUGGGUAAAGAAGCACCGGCUAACUACGUG
rnacentral:rRNA from 1 species